GGAGGGUGCAAGCGUUAUCCGGAUUCACUGGGUUUAAAGGGUGCGUAGGCGGGUUGGUAAGUCCGUGGUGAAAUCCCCAAGCUUAACUUGGGAACUGCCGUGGAUACUAUCAAUCUUGAAUAUCGUGGAGGUAAGCGGAAUAUGUCAUGUAGCGGUGAAAUGCUUAGAUAUGACAUAGAACACCAAUUGCGUAGGCAGCUUACUACACGAUCAUUGACGCUGAGGCACGAAAGCGUGGGGAGCAAACAGGAUUAGAUACCCUGGUAGUCCACGCCCUAAACGAUGGAUACUCGACAUCAGCGAUAUACUGUUGGUGUCUGAGCGAAAGCAUUAAGUAUCCCACCUGGGAAGUACGAUCGCAAGAUUG
rnacentral:rRNA from 1 species